GCCUCCUUAGCUCAGUGGUUAGAGCACUGGUCUUGUAAACCAGGGGGUCAUGAGUUCGAAUCUCAUAAGGGGCU
rnacentral:tRNA from 1 species